AGUGGGGAAUCUUGCCCAAUGAAGGAAACUCUAAUGCAGCGACGCCGCGUGACCGAUGAAGCCCUUCGGGGUGUAAAGCUCUUUCGACGGGACCGAUAAUGCCGGUACCCAAAGAAGAAGCUGCGGCUAACUACGUGCCAGCAGCCGCGGUAAUACGUAGGCAGCAAGCGUUGUUCGGAAUUACUGGGCGUAAAGAGUGUGUAGGUGGUGCUCUAAGUUUGGUGUGAAAUCUCCCGGCUUAACUGGGAGGGUGCAUCGAAAACUGGAGUGCUUGAGUAUGGGAGAGGUAAGCGGAAUUCCUGGU
rnacentral:rRNA from 1 species